UACAGAGGUCCCAAGCGUUGUUCGGAUUCAUUGGGCGUAAAGGGCGCGUAGGCGGCUCGGUAAGUCGGGUGUGAAAUCUCGGAGCUUAACUCCGAAACUGCAUUCGAUACUGCCGUGCUUGAGGACUGGAGAGGAGACUGGAAUUUACGGUGUAGCGGUGAAAUGCGUAGAUAUCGUAAGGAAGACCAGUGGCGAAGGCGGGUCUCUGGACAGUUCCUGACGCUGAGACACGAAGGCCAGGGGAGCAAACGGG
rnacentral:rRNA from 1 species